rnacentral:rRNA from 1 species
GUAGGUGGCAAGCGUUGUCCGGAAUUAUUGGGCGUAAAGCGCGCGCAGGCGGUCCUUUAAGUCUGAUGUGAAAGCCCACGGCUCCACCGUGGAGGGUCAUUGGAAACUGGGGGACUUGAGUACAGAAGAGGAAAGCGGAAUUCCAAGUGUAGCGGUGAAAUGCGUAGAGAUUUGGAGGAACACCAGUGGCGAAGGCGGCUUUCUGGUCUGUAACUGACGCUGAGGCGCGAAAGCGUGGGGAGCAAACAGGAUUAGAUACCCUGGUAGUCCACGCCGUAAACGAUGAGUGCUAAGUGUUAGGGGGUUUCCCGCCCCCCUUAGUGCUGCAGCUAACGCAUUAAGCACUCCGCCUGGGGAGUACGGCCGCAAGGCUG